rnacentral:rRNA from 1 species
AGUAACUGCGAGUGAACUGGAAUUAGCCCAUCACGAAAUCUGUCGAGGCAACUCUUCCGAAAUGUCGUGUAUAGAUGUUACUUAAAAUAAUAAAAUACAAAUUAAUUACGUUUAAACCCGUAGCCACAGAAGGUGCCAGCCCUGUCGAUUUGUGUAUUGUUAUUUUUGGUAGCUUCUCAGAGUCGUGUUGCUUGAAAGUGCAGCGCAAAGUUGGUGAUAAACAUCAUCUAAGGCUAAAUAUCCCCAUGAAUCCGAUAGCGAACAAGUACUGUGAAGGAAAGUUGCAAAGCACUCCGAAGAGAGAGUUAAAGAGGACGUGAAACCGAUACGAUGGAAGCGCACAGAGCCAGUCGCAUUGACAUYAAUUUAUUGGUGUUUCUAAGUGUGAAACAUUUGAUUGCUUUUGUUGCCCGCACUCUAGGUCGCGAAAUUUAUUUUUUGUAGUUGGAGGGCACGAAGACAUAAGUAGUUAAAUUGUAGAUUGGGGAAGGUURGUUGAUGUAUUGUGGUUUUUUGAUGAUUCACUUGUGUUUGACUCUUAAAAUUAUUUUACUGAUAUUAGKCCAACUAGUCGUUUUUACAUAGCCCUGGUAUGCUGUACGUCCCGUCUUGAAACACGGACCAAGGAGUGUAUUGCUAUGGCGAGUCAUUAAUAUUGUUAAUAUUAAAGGCGUAUUGAAAAAGAUUCUACUUGUGAUGUAGUAAUACAGCAACAAGGACGUGGGCAUGAUAUUUAUAUCCGUCCGCAGUUAGAGCCAUAGUAGUGCGACCCGAAAGAUGGUGAACUAUGCUAGCGCAGGGUGAAGUCAGAGGAAACUCUGAUGGAAGCUCGAAGCGGUCCUGACGUGCAAAUCGGUCGUAUGACGUUAGUAUAGGGGCGAAAGAC